rnacentral:rRNA from 1 species
GUGAUGUGAUGCGCAAGUCCACCACUUAUACGUGAAUCAUCGAGUUGUUGAACGCACCGCACCGCGCCCUAAUCCGGCUGCGGUAUGCCCCUUUGAGCGUCAUUGUAUCCCUUCGGGAGUCUUUUCAUCGAGACCCGAGUUCGGAGUCCUCGGUCUUUGGAUCGUGUUCUCUCAGAUGCGUCGCGCCGAUCGCCUGAUGGGUCGCUCUAAUGCCUAAGCGUGGAGUCCCUCGGAGCCCGAAACGCGCUUGACCGGGUGUUGAGCCCGCGUCGCCAAGUCCGCACGUCUUACGUGGCGGUACUACAACGCAUGACCUCAUUGGGGUAGGACAACCCGCUAGACUUAAGCAUAUUAAUCAGCGGAGGAAAAGAAACUAACCAGGAUUCCCUCAGUAACUGCGAGUGAAGCGGGACCGGCUCAAUGUGUGAAUCUGGCUUGGGGUAGAUCCCUGGUCCGAGUUGUGCACUAUGGACGUUUCGUCUGCGUUUGUAAUGGCGGUGGAAGUCCGUUGAAACACGGCACCUCAGAGGGUCACAGUCCUGUACCACCUGCCUGCACUCGCGCCAAUGACAAGCGCUCCUCGAGUCGCGUAGUUUUGUAAUGCUGCGCCAAGUGGGAGGUAGAGACCUUCUAAGGCUAAAUAUGAUGACGUGACCGAUAGCACACAAGUACCGCGAGGGAAAGGUGAAAAGCAACCAUGAAAAAUGGGUUGAAACAGCAGUGAAAGCGCUACCGGGAUAAGGGCUAUCGGGUGCUGGGGCUUCUUGGGUGUGCUUCAGUGCUACCCUUGGAGACGGCCCGCGUGGGUUGAUGUUGGGGCGAUAGACGCGUCGUUGGAAUUCAGCUGUCUUUGGGCAGUGUUGUAGCCUUCGGUUGCCGAUCCUCCUGCGAC